GGGUUGAACAAAAGUGAAGUAAACUUCACUUCCCCAAGACAUAAGGAGGAACUAGGUGCUAAUAUUCUUCAACUUCUUCGGACAGAACGGCUUCAUUCCCUUGGUGUUGAGGUGGAUCAUGCUUCUGACAUCUGUGGUUCUUCCUUUGGACUAAGAGGUGGGUCACCGUCUUCUUUUGGUGGUGGCUGGGUGAGGAGGGGAAAUCCUUCUUCCUUAGUGGACUCCAACUCUAAAGUUUCAUGAGAGGCUUCUGUGGGUGGG
rnacentral:lncRNA from 1 species